rnacentral:rRNA from 1 species
GACGAACGCUGGCGGCGUGCCUAAUACAUGCAAGUAGAACGCUGAAGAGAGGAGCUUGCUCUUCUUGGAUGAGUUGCGAACGGGUGAGUAACGCGUAGGUAACCUGCCUUGUAGCGGGGGAUAACUAUUGGAAACGAUAGCUAAUACCGCAUAACAAUGGAUGACACAUGUCAUUUAUUUGAAAGGGGCAAUUGCUCCACUACAAGAUGGACCUGCGUUGUAUUAGCUAGUAGGUGAGGUAAUGGCUCACCUAGGCGACGAUACAUAGCCGACCUGAGAGGGUGAUCAGCCACACUGGGACUGAGACACGGCCCAGACUCCUACGGGAGGCAGCAGUAGGGAAUCUUCGGCAAUGGGGGCAACCCUGACCGAGCAACGCCGCGUGAGUGAAGAAGGGUUUCGGAUCGUAAAGCUCUGUUGUAAGUCAAGAACGGGUGUGAGAGUGGAAAGUUCACGCUGUGACGGUAGCUUACCAGAAAGGGACGGCUAACUACGUG